UACGCAGGGGGCUAGCGUUGCUCGGAAUCACUGGGCGUAAAGCGCACGUAGGCGGCUUCUUAAGUCAGGGGUGAAAUCCUGGAGCUCAACUCCAGAACUGCCUUUGAUACUGAGGAGCUUGAGUCCGGGAGAGGUGAGUGGAACUGCGAGUGUAGAGGUGAAAUUCGUAGAUAUUCGCAAGAACACCAGUGGCGAAGGCGGCUCACUGGCCCGGUACUGACGCUGAGGUGCGAAAGCGUGGGGAGCAAACAGG
rnacentral:rRNA from 1 species